UUCCUGAUCUUUAGUUGAAAUCUCCUUGCUUGCAACUUGAAGCCAUUGGUCCCACCCUCCAGAGCAAGGAAGAACAAGCUUGCUCCCUCCUCCUUGAGAUAUUUGAAGAUGGCUAUCAUAUCUCCUCUCAGUCUCCUCUCCUCUUUUUCCAGGAUAAACAUACCCAGUUCCCUCAA